rnacentral:lncRNA from 1 species
GGCCAUAGAAACACUCGUCACCCCCACGCACUUUAAACUGGAGGAACCCGGACUCACACAGGCUCCCCUUAACUCAGUACAAUCAGUUAUCUCAUCUCCAGAUUUUGAAGUUCCUUCUGUUGGUGCCUUUUACCUAAGUCAGCAUGUUUCAAACAUUCAGAAAAAAAAAAACAACCUUAGAAAAUAAAAACCACUACUCCACCCAAAUGAUAAAAAUCUCUUAAAUUCUCCAAGCACAACAUCGUCGUCUCCUCUUAACUCAGCCCUCAGCAAGAGUUGAUUCCUUUGGGUUCUGGGGAAUGGCGGGCUCUGCCAGUCCCCACCUCACCAGCCUAAUAGUUUUUCCAGACUGACUCCUGCUUGGUGUUGCGGGACAGCUUGGAAGCCAACUCCGGGUCCCAUUCAUUCCUCUCGGUCCUCUAAGAUACAUUCAUUAAUGCUUUUUCCAGCCGGAGUCAAACUUACUGGGGGUUGGGGGGGGAGUUAACUCGGGCUGGGGAUAACCUGGAGCCUACUGCCGGGGAAGAUCCGGACGCAGACCGAAGCAAACCAACCAUUAAAAAAUGCAUCCAAUGGGAAUUUUUCCACUCCAGNNNNNNNNNNNNNNNNNNNNNNNNNNNNNNNNNNNNNNNNNNNNNNCUCGGGGCGCUUUCGGAAGGACCCCACCGUCGGGGGCGCGGACUAGGCUCCCAGCGCAUUGUUAGCAGAAGGGCGCCCUCACGGGCAGCGCUCCUCGGCCCUUUGCUCCUGGAGAGUUCCCGGCGCCCGCCCAGGGCCGGGACCGGAGGCACCCAGGGCCACCUACCCGCGCCUCCUAGGGUCAAACCCUUCGCACUUUACCUGGACCGGAUGGCCCAAGUGCCGGCGCUCGGUCAGAGCCGCCUAUGCAAUGCUACUCCGAGCACUGAGAAAGCCACAGCACCGCAGGACAUUCCCUCCACGCUGGUCAGCAGGUCUCCAGAGCGCAGCACGCAAGAUCGCCGCACAGACUCAGACUCCCCCCCCGGGUGA